AUUGAACGCUGGCGGCAUGCCUUACACAUGCAAGUCGAACGGUAGCGCGGGGCAACCUGGCGACGAGUGGCGAACGGGUGAGUAAAGCAUCGGAACGUGCCCUGGAAUGGGGGAUAACGUAGCGAAAGUUACGCUAAUACCGCAUAUUCUGUGAGCAGGAAAGCAGGGGAUCGCAAGACCUUGCGUUCUGGGAGCGGCCGAUGUCGGAUUAGCUAGUUGGUGGGGUAAAAGCCUACCAAGGCGACGAUCCGUAGCGGGUCUGAGAGGAUGAUCCGCCACACUGGGACUGAGACACGGCCCAGACUCCUACGGGAGGCAGCAGUGGGGAAUUUUGGACAAUGGGCGGAAGCCUGAUCCAGCCACGCCGCGUGAGUGAAGAAGGCC
rnacentral:rRNA from 1 species